AAAUCUUUUGUGUUGUUACAAUUCUUUAGUGCGUAAAAUUUAUUUUAUCUUCUAUUUAUUAAUCUUAUAUUAGUUUAUCAGUUUUAAAUUUUUAAUUUUAAUUUUUCUUGAUAUUAUUUAAAAAGUAAUAUCGGUUUCGUGAUCGGUGUUAAGAUUGUCGUGAUACUCAUCAAUGAUAUUCUACGGCCACUUUCGAAUGCUUAUUAUGUAAUGACUGGUAAUAAUAUGAUCAUAUUUGCCGAGUUUUAUUCAAGAUUGACAAAAUAUGCCAAAUUUUUUUAUGGUUGAUAUAAAUUGCCACAACAGCCACUUUAAAAAUUAACAACCGUGGAAAAAUUGACAAAUAUGGCAAAUUAUACUACAUUCAAUCAACUGUCUAUUGAUACAAUCUUUUACCAUUGUAAAAAGACUUGUUAACGUGUUUGAGAGACAAAUUUCCCAUAAUUCAGAAAAGAAAUACGUAUGUUUAUGCGUAGUAACCAAUGUUCCAACUUAUGAAACUUCUGAAAGCGAGUUAUAAUAAUUCUUAAGUUUCAAAGUCAUUUAAUUUUCAUUAGAACGCUUUGUACAAUCAACCAUUGUACAAUCAAGAAGAGUCAUGCUGGAACUUUUACAACUUUUAUAGUCUUCUCAAAACUUGAUGAUCCUCGACUCUUGUAUUCGUUUCAACAUGAAAUUCAUUGAAAGUACAAUGAAGAACGUCGUUUGUUUUAAUUACAGUAAACAAUCAUUCGAUUCAUUGAAUUAUCAACGGAAGAGAUAGAAUGAAAUUAAAAAAGGACAGAGAGAAAAAGAGAGAGAGAGAGAGAGAGUCAGUGUAAUUGAAAAAAAAUUGAAUUAAAGAAAGAAGAAGAAGCGCUGCUUCUGAAAUUCUUAUGCAAAUCAACGAGUUCAAUAAUUGUGAGAUUACUUUCACAGAGUGGUUGGUUGGAGAAUGCUCUCAUACGUUUCUCUUUCGCAUUCUCGUUUCCCAAAGGACUCUGGCCAAGAACAAGAGAAUCUGAAUGAAGAAGGUAGACAGAAAGCACACGUGUAUAAACUAUGAAAGAAAAGAUCGACGGAAGUGGAAAGAGGGAACAUGUAAAAGAAGUAAUUUCUCGAAUGGCAUGAUAAAAAAUGGAAUGGAAACGCAAACCAAGAAACAAGAAUAAAAGAAUGAAAAUCCCGUUAAAAAGUGAAAAGUGAAACUAUUUUUUCCUAUUACGAAAAAAGCAUCAGCUGUCUGUACGCGGUCUGAGAAGAAUAGACGGCAUUUCAGUGAAAAUCGCCGAGGGAAAGGUCGGAUUUUGCGUACUUCGAAGAGGCCUUUCGAGAUUAUCCCCAUAGCAACGAGAAUUGCUCGAUAGCAGACUGACUAGGUGCUCUUCAGCAAACUCCUCUCUCCUCUUUUGGAAACAGAGAGACACAGAGGAACACGAGAUAUAGGGUAUUUUGCCCUUUAUCAUUUUUCUUGGUCCUCCUGCGCUAUAUUGUUCAUCAUUCAGUUGUCCGUGAACUCUUUUCGAGCAGAAAGAAUCCUUUGUUUCGCGUGCCACUCAUCCUCGCGUUCGAACGCGCUCGGCCCGCUUUACAUUACACCAACAAAUUUUUCCAGAUUCUUUUCUUUCGCGUACCUAUUUACAAAUACAAAUCUGUCAAAUUCUGUAAUAAUAUGUACAAUUUGAAAAAUUUUUCUGUACUAGCACUUUAUUAUAGUAGUUAGAUGUUGUUUUUACAUUACAAAAAGAAAUGCAUUGCUUUUCUCUGGAAUUUUCAUAUAAAAGCUCCAAUAUUAAUAAACUU